rnacentral:rRNA from 1 species
UCGGUGCCGCAGCUAACGCAUUAAGUACUCCGCCUGGGAAGUACGCUCGCAAGAGUGAAACUCAAAGGAAUUGACGGGGACCCGCCCAAGUAGCGGAGCAUGUGGUUUAAUUCGAAGCAACGCGAAGAACCUUACCGAAGCUUGACAUCCCAAUGACAUCUCCUUAAUCGGGGAGUUCCCUUCGGGGACAUUGGUGACAGGUGGGGCAUGGUUGUCGUCAGCUCGUGUCGUUAGAUGUUGGGUUAAGUCCCGCAACGAGCGCCACCCUUGUCUUUAGUUGC